AGUCUUGUAGUGCGUGGCACGUCGAAUUGCAAAUUCGAANACNCCCCUUAAUUGUGGCCCGGACU
rnacentral:tRNA from 1 species